GAGGGUAUAGCUUAGUGGUAGAGUGCAUGCCUAGCAUGUAGGAGGUCCUGGGUUCAAGCCUCAGUACCUCCA
rnacentral:tRNA from 1 species